UUGACUGCUCUAGGGAGCUUGCGCCAGGGGAGGCACGCAGUACUUGCCUUUCUGUGCCUAGCUUACUUCACUUAGCAUCGUGUCCUCAAGGUUUGUCCGUGUUGUAGCGUGUGUCAGAAAUCCUUCGCUUUUUAAGGCCGAACAACAUUCCUUUGAGACCACGUGUUACCUGUCCGUUCUUCCGUUGAUGAAUCUUUUGGCUACUGUGGUAACGCCACUAUGAACAGGGGUGGACAGUUCUCCUCGGCUUGGAGCUGCUGUGGUCUAAUGUGGGGGGCGACAGGUAGAUUCACCAGCAAGUUACCCUGGAUGAGCCCCCAUUUUGUCAUCUGUGAAAUGGGGAUACUGUUACCCACUGUAAGGGUUCAAUGAGAUGCUGCACCAUUUGGGGCAGUGCCGACACGUGGUAAACACUUGAUAAAUGCGAGCUUUUACUGCAGCUGCCGCCGCCGUGGGGCAAGAUGUGUCUAGAGAAGAGGGGGCCUGAAAGCGGGGGGUCAGCUUGCGCCCUCCCACGAAGGUCAUGUCAGCCCACCCUCAUGAACAUCCUGGCGAGUGGUCCUGAAGAUCUCAAUUUUCCAGGUCCCAAAGAGGUCCAGUGCCAGAGGCUGGGGACCCAGAGGUGAAUUAGAUGUGGUCUCCACCUCCAAAUGGGUCUGAGCCCAAGGAUCAGGCACGGCUUCAAAAAGCAGGUGAGAUCUGAGCUGACUUCGGAAGAGGAGGAGCCAGACCUAUCUUCAUAGGAGCGUGACCUGUGCUGUCACACCAGGCCCUGUGCUCAGAAGACCCCCGUGCUUCGUUUAAUGUUCUCCUUUGCCAUCUUGGAGUUCUGAAUUUUUGAACAAAGGACCCCAUAUUUCCAUCGUCCACUGGGCCCGACAAAUUAUGUAGCAGUGCUGUGAAUAGGAGACCAUCAGGCAGAGAAGAGGGGGUAUCUUUGAAGUAAAAGGGCUCUGAGCGUGCAAAGGCAUGCUGAAACUUGAGGCUUAGCUCAUCCUGGAAACACUGCCAGGCACGCUGUUUCUAGUCGGAGAGCUGUGCAUCCCGGGAAAGCGGGAGAAGCUCAAAGUGGAAAACAGUGAAAGGCUUCAAACGCAAAGUUAGGAGGUUUGGAUGUUGUAUGAGGUGUCCGUGGGGAGCCUUCCAAACUGUGGAUUGGGAACGUGAUGGCUCACGGAUGGCACUGUGGCACUGUGGAGACGAACGGUGCAGACAGUGUUAUAAUGUGUACUUUAUAGAUGGGGAAACUGAGACCCCAAGAGGUGAUGUGAGCAGGGCUGCAAGAGAACUUUUGUGGGCUCUAGGCACUUUUAGCUUCAUGGACCCCUUUCUUCAGAAAUGUGCAUAUAUGUGUACAUAUACAUGUAUGUACACAAACAUACUCAUGCACAUAUGCAUGUACAUAUGUGUAUGUAUAAUUAUAUUUUACACCUGCUUUGGUAUAAAGGCAAAUGCAUUAAUAUUAUAUACUAAAACACUUUCUUUGACUUAAAGUACAGUGGGCCCGAGGUUCUGUGCCUGCUGCACUUAAUGGAAUAUCACCCUGGACACCGGCUGCUCAGCCCUUCUGUCUCUUCAGGAGCUGCCCUCAGGAUUCCUGGAUCUUCCUGGAAUGGGUGGGCGGCCCUUUUCUCCCCAGGGGUAGCACUUGCCAGUCCCUAAGCCCCUUUCAGAUGGAACCUGCUUUACCUCCAAGGACUUUCCAUCCCAGUUUCCUAAGGAGGGUGCUGAUGACUGUUUGGAUUUGUAUCCGGAUGGUGGGGCUGAGUGAUAGGUAAAGGAGAGAGAGUUGCAUGUACCAAAAUGUUCAUUGCAGCUCUAUUUACAAUAGCCCAGAGAUGGAAACAACCUAAGUGUCCAUCAUCGGAUGAAUGGAUAAAGAAUGUGACACAUAUAUACAAUGGAAUAUUACUCAGCCAUAAAAAGAAACGAAAUUGAGCUAUUUAUAGUGAGGUGGAUGGACUUAGAGUCUGUCAUACAGAGUGAAGUAAGUCAGAAAGAGAAAGACAAAUACCGUAUGCUAACACAUAUAUAUGGAAUUUAAGAAAAAAAAAUGUCAUGAAGAACCUAGGGUAAGACAGGAAUAAAGACACAGACCUACUAGAGAAUGGACUUGAGGAUAUGGGUAGGGGUUGCGUAAGCUGUGACAAAGUGAGAGAGUGGCAUGGACAUAUAUACACUACCAAAUGUAAAAUAGAUAGCUAGUGGGAAGCAGCUGCAUAGCACAGGGAGGUCAGCUUGGUGCUUUGUGACCCCCUAGAGGGGUGG